rnacentral:lncRNA from 1 species
AUGGGCCUCCUUUGCCAAGGAUUAGUUUCUCUUUUUUGUUUUUUUUAGAAAUUCUGAAUGUGUUGAAAAGGCUUUAGAGGGAUUUAAAAUAUAGGAAAUAACAAGGUCUGACUUAAAUUUACAAAAGAUCUCUCUAGCAGCUGAUGGGCGACAGUCUAUAGGGAGCAAGAGCAGAAGAUCUAUUCUCCUCAGGGCAGACAAUAGGCACCUUUCAAGGACGAGGCAAGUAAGGCCCAGAGAGCUGACAAGAUCUGUCCUAGCUCACUCCAUUUUGUACUUUUGGUUCCCAGACCAGUGGCCCUUUGUGGCUACACAUUCUCUAACUGAGGCACAACUGACCAGGCUCCAGGUGAAGCUUCUCGGCCUGCAUUACAGGUCCUGUUGUGCCCAACUCAUGAUUUAUCCAGGUCACACCAGUCUGGUCUGUCACAGUAAGAGGGCCACCAGGAAACACACCUUCAGGAAGCACCUUUUCUGUUCUAUCCCAAAGGGCACCAUCACAUACACUAUAAUAUGAAUCAUGACCCCCGGAGUUGUGUGGAGUUUCUGCAUCUCUCCCUCCCCACUGUGGCUACCCUCAUCCAGCAACCAUCCUGUCUCUCACCGGUAUUACCGCAGCUGAGACCCAGGUCUUAAGGAAGCUGAGACCCAGGCCAGCAGGGGCCUCACAGCUUGGAAAAAGAGGAGGGUGUAAGACUCUGGAUGAAGCUGAGAGAUCCUUCCAUGCUUGGCUGAGAGACUACACAGACAUGAGCUUCAGGAGACUCCAAAGCCUCGGAUCCCCUUCUAAACUAGCACUGAAUUCUGAUUGGCUGUCUUUGCCUGCCUCAGUUUGUUCCUUUUACUGAUUGGCUAGGUUCUUCUGCCCAUGGCAGAGCCCUGCUCCAGCCACCGGAUCCUCCCACCUGCCACAGUGUCACCUGGGAUUGGCUGGGCUCUGAAAGGCCAGGCUGGCUUGACUCUUGCCAUCAUCAGAUUCUUCCUCAUUAAACAAAUGAAUCACAAUCCUAAUUAAUUUGAGCAACAGAAUUUAUGUAACUACUCCCAGCAGGAUGUCUGCUCUCAGUCAGCAGAGAGAUUACUUCCUCUCUCUGGGAAAUUCCAGCCUUGCUGGUCAAUAAGCCUUAAUGAUGACUGAAAUCUCCCAUCUGUCUCUGCUCAGGGCAGGUAACCCCUACUAAGCAGACACCCAGUUGGCUCGAGGCAGUACCCCGGGCACCGGCAGGACAAGGACAACGAUCUCCCAGCCUAGAUGUGUCCUGAGCCACAUGGAGCACACAGAUUACAGGAUCUGACUCCCAUUUGGGCCUUCCACCUCCGCUGGCCUAAGCAGUCAAGUGUCAGAGAGCACUGGACCUAACAGCUCCCUCACCAGAGCAGCUGUGAUUCCUUCUUCAUUUCCAGCAGGGAAGACCCAACAACUUUUAUAAUAUGGGAUUUCUUUUAUUCUCAUGAUAAUAAUGUUCAUUGUGGAAAAUAAAAAAAAAUGAUAAAAUAAAAAUCAGCCAGAAUUCCAACUUCUGGAGAUUUUGGUGUCUUUCUGCAAAGUUCCUAUGCACAUAGAUACUUUAUAAAAUUAUGAACAUACUGUACAUACAGUUUUGGAAUAUGCCUUUUUCCUUCUGUCAUGAAAAAGUCUUCAAAUGCCUUUUAACAGCUACACAAUAGUUCACUACAUGAACCAACUCAAAUGUAACUAUUUUUGGCCUUUUGUUAUAAAUAACACAAGAACCCUCAGUCUUUGUUACAUAAUGUCCUAACAGAGUAGGGGAAAUGCUCCCCAAUCCGGUGCAAUGUCCUGUGCCCAGGGAAACCAAUU